AAACACCCCUGUUUGGAUUUUGAAGUUGCUGCCUGUUUCUUUCACUUCUAACAAAGAUGUCUGGAAGCAGCUCCUGGCGCAGGGCGUAUACUAGAUCCAACUGAUGUGUUCUUUCUGCACUCACUCCUGUUCUCGCAUUGUUUUGUGAGAAUUCAAUAAAGACCGAAGAUGGCCUGCUGACUUAAAAUGGGACCGAGGGAGUUUGGUGGAGUGCUUCCAAUCA
rnacentral:lncRNA from 1 species